rnacentral:misc_RNA from 1 species
GAUGAAAGAACGCAGCGAAAUGCGAUACGUAAUGUGAAUUGCAGAAUUCAGUGAAUCAUCGAGUCUUUGAACGCACAUUGCGCCCGCCAGUAUUCUGGCGGGCAUGCCUGUUCGAGCGUCAUUUCAACCCUCAAGCACUGCUUGGUGUUGGGGACCGGCUUGCCUUCAGCGCCUGCCGCCCCCGAAAUACAGUGGCGGUCUCGCCGCAGCCUCCUCUGCGUAGUAGUUUACAACCUCGCAUACGGAGCGCGGCGCGGCCACGCCGUAAAACCCCCUACUUUCAAAGGUUGACCUCGAAUCAGGUAGGAAUACCCGCUGAACUUAAGCAUAUCAAUAAGCGGAGGA